GUCCACGCCCUAAACGAUGGGUACUAGCCGUUGGGGGAGUCUAUCUUCCAGUGGCGUAGCUAACGCGUUAAGUACCCCGCCUGGGGAGUACGGCCGCAAGGUUAAAACUCAAAGGAAUUGACGGGGGCCCGCACAAGCGGUGGAGCAUGUGGUUUAAUUCGAUGCAACGCGAAGAACCUUACCUGCCCUUGACAUCCCCCGGAACCCUGCAGAGAUGCGGGGGUGCCUUCGGGAGCCGGGUGACAGGUGCUGCAUGGCUGUCGU
rnacentral:rRNA from 1 species